AUUGAACGCUGGCGGCAGGCCUAACACAUGCAAGUCGAGCGGAUGAUGGGAGCUUGCUCCUGGAUUCAGCGGCGUACGGGUGAUUAAUGCCUAGUUAUCUGCCUGUAGUUUUGGAUAACGUCCGGAAACGGGCGCUAUUACCGCAUACGUCCUGAUGCAUAAAGUGGGUGAUCUUCUUACCUCACGCUAUCAGUUGCUCCUAGGUCGUAUUAGCUAGUUGGUGGGGUAAAUGCCUACCAAGGCGACGAUCCGUAACUGGUCUGAGAGGAUGAUCAGUCAAACUGGAAAUGAGAAACGGUACAGACUCCUAAGGGAGGAAGCAGUGGGGAAUAUUGGACAAUGGGCGAAAGACUGAUCCAGCAAUGCCGCGUGUGUGAAGAAGGUCUACGGAUUGUAAAGCAAUUUAAGUUGGGAGGAAGGGAAGUAAGUUAAUACCUUGCUGAAUUGACGUUAACAACAGAAUAAGAACCGGCUAACUUCGUG
rnacentral:rRNA from 1 species